UACGUAGGGUGCAAGCGUUAUCCGGAAUUAUUGGGCGUAAAGAGCUCGUAGGCGGUUUGUCGCGUCUGCUGUGAAAACUGGAGGCUCAACCUCCAGCCUGCAGUGGGUACGGGCAGACUAGAGUGCGGUGGGGGAGAUUGGAAUUCCUGGUGUAGCGGUGGAAUGCGCAGAUAUCAGGAGGAACACCGAUGGCGAAGGCAGAUCUCUGGGCCGUAACUGACGCUGAGGAGCGAAAGCGUGGGGAGCGAACAGG
rnacentral:rRNA from 1 species